rnacentral:rRNA from 1 species
GACGAACCGUGCGAACGUUGUUCGGAAUCACUGGGCUUAAAGGGCGCGUAGGCGGUCUGCCAAGUCCGGGGUGAAAGCCCCCAGCUCAACUGGGGAAGUGCCUCGGAUACUGGCGGACUUGAGGGAGGCAGGGGUUGUGGGAACUUCCGGUGGAGCGGUGAAAUGCGUUGAUAUCGGAAGGAACGCCGGUGGCGAAAGCGCACAACUGGUCCUCUUCUGACGCUGAGGCGCGAAAGCGUGGGGAGCAAACGGG